AUGUUCAAACAGGUGUUUACCAAUACCGAAUUGAGGCAUUAUAGAACAGACCACUGGGAGGGGGGGGGGGCACCAGGAGGAGACUGGAGACAGGGCACAAAGCAGAUUCACCCCUUUUCUCGGGAAAAUUGUUUUAUGUUGCUUUUGUAUUGUUUAACCAUAUUAAUGCAUAUGAUAUUUAUAGUAUUAAUAUGGUUUACUUCUUUUUUUUUUUACGACCCUGAUUUUUUUGGUGCCCUACCGGCCAUUUGGUGCCCUACGCAGUGUGCGUUAUGUGCGUUUGCGGAGCUACGGCGCUGCUCACUAGCAAUCCAGCAAUUCAUCUCCGAGGAAGUUAUCCCAGAGAGAAGUAAAGCAAGUGUCUCGUCUGACUGUGAGUCCCAGCAGCUCUCAGGUGUUUGAAGGAGACUUUGUGUCUCUGAGCUGUGAGGAGGACGACAGCUCUGCUGGAUGGACUCUGAGGAGAAACACAAGCAAAAAACAGAGGACUCAGUGUGGAGAUGGGUGGGGAGAACCAGCUGGUUCUUCAUGUAACAUCAGUCGCAUCAUCUCGGACAGUGGAGUUUACUGGUGUGAGUCCAGAGAGGGUCCCAUCAGUAACAUGGUUAACCUGACAGUCACUGGUAAGCUGAGUGUGUGGAGUUAGUGUUGAUGAAGCUGUGUGUAAAUGGAUGAAAUGCUGUAGUUUGUCUCUGUGUUGAGGUGGAGCAGUGAUCCUGCAGAGUCCUGUCCUCCCUGUGAUGGAGGGAGAUGACGUCACUCUGCUCUGUAAAACAAAGACCACUCCCUCCAACCUCCCAGCUGCUUUCUAUAAAGAUCUCCGUUAACCAUUACAUAAUAAUUGUAUUCUUACAGGUCAAGAAUUACCUCAUCGGUGUCUUUACCGAAUUUUCAACUACAGACUUAUUUAGAAAGUAAAAAGUAGCAACUCCGAUGUUGAUAAAUCUGAUAUUAAUAAAUCGAUGUUUAAUCCUGAGCGUCUAUGAGAGCAGGUAGAGUGUGGUGCUCUCGUUGUUGGAGAAAAACGUGUUAUUCAAUAAAAAUGAAAAAAGAACAGCCAUGAUUGUUUAAAUAUAUUUUAUUGGUGAAGUGAAAAUGACAGCUCGGAUGAUUUCAUAAAGCCAAGACUUUCCUUGAUUUGGCUCACACUGGUGGAUCUCCAUCUGAACAGCCACAGUGUACAAAAAUGUCC
rnacentral:lncRNA from 1 species